rnacentral:rRNA from 4 species
GCGACCCCAGUCAGGCGG